GCGAAAAACCAAAACAAAACAAAAAAUUGGAAUGGUACUGAGAAGAUUAGCAUGGCUCCUGUGCAGGGUUGACAUGCAAAUUCAUGAAGCAUAUAAUUAUAUG